UACGUAGGGUGCGAGCGUUGUCCGGAAUUAUUGGGCGUAAAGAGCUUGUAGGCGGUCUGUCGCGUCUGCUGUGAAAAUCCGGGGCUCAACCCCGGACUUGCAGUGGGUACGGGCAGACUAGAGUGUGGUAGGGGAGACUGGAAUUCCUGGUGUAGCGGUGAAAUGCGCAGAUAUCAGGAGGAACACCGAUGGCGAAGGCAGGUCUCUGGGCCACUACUGACGCUGAGAAGCGAAAGCAUGGGGAGCGAACAGG
rnacentral:rRNA from 2 species